AGUGAACGCUGGCGGUAGGCCUAACACAUGCAAGUCGAACGGCAGCACAGUAAUAGCUUGCUCUUACGGCUGGCGAGGGGCGGACGGUUGAGGGAUACAUCGGAAUCUACUUUUUCGUGGGGGAUAACGUAGGGAAACUUACGCUAAUACCGCAUACGACCUACGGGUGGAAGCAGGGGAUCUUCGGACCUUGCGCGAUUGAAUGAGCCGAUGUCGGAUUAGCUAGUUGGCGGGGUAAAGGCCCACCAAGGCGACGAUCCGUAGCUGGUCUGAGAGGAUGAUCAGCCACACUGGAACUGAGACACGGUCCAGACUCCUACGGGAGGCAGCAGUGGGGAAUAUUGGACAAUGGGCGAAAGCCUGAUCCAGCCAUGCCGCGUGGGUGAAGAAGGCCUUCGGGUUGUAAAGCACUUUUGUUGGGAAAGAAAAGCAGCAGGUUAAUACCCCGCCGUUCUGACGGUACCCAAAGAAUAAGCACCGGCUAACUUCGUG
rnacentral:rRNA from 1 species